UCUAUUUUUUUUCUCGCGUUUCUCUCAAUUUUUUCAGCAGAUUUCAUUUUUUUUAUUGAUUGAAUAUAUUUUGCUGUUGAAAAAACGUGAUUUGCUGUGAUGGACAAUAAAAUAUCUAUAUUAAUUAAACAUGGUGAAAGGUGAAAUUCAUCAGGUCAAUAUGUCGAUUUUCAGAUGGAGGGAGAUUUCAACGUUAUGAAAUACCAUGUGGUCAUGUAAUCGUAGUUCUUUGAUACAGAAAGUUGCAUGAAGCAAAUUUCUGUUCUACUUUUUUAGUCUGAAGAAUUUUAAAGAUGCAUAUGUCAUCCCUGUUGAACCUAUCACAUGCGAGAGUACAUGGGAUAUACUAAGUUAUAUUUCAGAGCCUAAAUGAUGCCACCCGGUCCAAAGAGAACAUCGGAAAUACCAAAACAUGAACGAUGGAAGGGGUUUGCUGACGUGAAAUUUAAAAGGUCAAAAAUCACUUGCAGUAGAUGUCGUCAAGUUGGACAUAACAGAAAGAUAUGUUCAAAUUAUCUAGUGCUUAAAAAAUAAUUUCUUGUGUUUAUGUUGUUUUGACUGUUAGACACAAUUUUUUAUGUACGUAUUGCAUUUUGGUAUCAAAA